ensembl:lncRNA
CUUCCUUCUCAUUGUGGCCAAAUGUGACAAUCCUGGUCCCAGACCCGGUGUGUAACCUGUUCCACACAGGGCUAAGCACUCCUCCGAGGGUGGGGCUUUCUGCAGGUGACUGGACCAUGGCUGUGUGAUGCUGGGAUUAAGGAUGUGUGAUAACUAAAUUGGUUUAGCAUAAACCUGGGUGUGGAUCAUUGAAGCCCCACCCUGGGUGUGGGUGGCACCACCCAAAAGGCCUGUAGCCUGGAUGUGAUAAAAUGGAAAGGGAGGCUCACAGCUGCUGCAGCUGCCUCCUGCCUACCCUGCCAUGGACUGUUUCUCCCCUGCGAUGCCUGUCUGCCAUGCCACCCUGCCUUGGACUGAAACCUCUACAAACUGUGAGCCAAAAUAAACCUUUCCUGCUUUCUUGGAGGUGUUGGGUAUUUUGUCUUAGCAACGAGAAAGUAACUAAGACAAUGACACAUCUUAAAUCUUUUUGCUUCUCCUUCCCUACCCCUCAGUCUAUAAGAUCCCUACCUGUUUGCAAAGGAUCAAUCUCCC